CAUGCAGUCGAACGAUGAACCUGGGGCUUGCUCUGGGGGAUUAGUGGCGAACGGGUGAGUAACACGUGAGCAACCUGCCCCUGACUCUGGGAUAAGCGCUGGAAACGGCGUCUAAUACUGGAUACGAACAAGAAUCGCAUGGUUACUUGUUGGAAAGAUUUUUUGGUUGGGGAUGGGCUCGCGGCCUAUCAGCUUGUUGGUGAGGUAAUGGCUCACCAAGGCGUCGACGGGUAGCCGGCCUGAGAGGGUGACCGGCCACACUGGGACUGAGACACGGCCCAGACUCCUACGGGAGGCAGCAGUGGGGAAUAUUGCACAAUGGGCGGAAGCCUGAUGCAGCAACGCCGCGUGAGGGAUGACGGCCUUCGGGUUGUAAACCUCUUUUAGCAGGGAAGAAGCGUAAGUGACGGUACCUGCAGAAAAAGCACCGGCUAACUACGUGCCAGCAGCCGCGGUAAUACGUAGGGUGCAAGCGUUAUCCGGAAUUAUUGGGCGUAAAGAGCUCGUAGGCGGUUUGUCGCGUCUGCUGUGAAAUCUGGAGGCUCAACCUCCAGCCUGCAGUGGGUACGGGCAGACUAGAGUGCGGUAGGGGAGAUUGGAAUUCCUGGUGUAGCGGUGGAAUGCGCAGAUAUCAGGAGGAACACCGAUGGCGAAGGCAGAUCUCUGGGCCGUUACUGACGCUGAGGAGCGAAAGGGUGGGGAGCAAACAGGCUUAGAUACCCUGGUAGUCCACCCCGUAAACGUUGGGAACUAGUUGUGGGGUCCAUUCCACGGAUUCCGUGACGCAGCUAACGCAUUAAGUUCCCCGCCUGGGGAGUACGGCCGCAAGGCUAAAACUCAAAGGAAUUGACGGGGACCCGCACAAGCGGCGGAGCAUGCGGAUUAAUUCGAUGCAACGCGAAGAACCC
rnacentral:rRNA from 1 species